UUUACGAAUCCGGAUCCAUGAUACACGACUCACGAACGGUCCCACAACAACAACAACAACACCGACACCUACACUUGGAUGUUCAGAUGGCUCGUGGGCGAGGAAGAGGGCGGAGAGGAGCCACCAAGCGCAAGACUACCGAGGACGAUGAAGUGCCAGCUAAGCUCAAGAGGGAAGAGAGUGAAAAUAUUUGAAGGAGACGAA